GACGAACGCUGGCGGCGUGCUUAACACAUGCAAGUCGAACGGAAAGGCCCUGCUUUUGUGGGGUGCUCGAGUGGCGAACGGGUGAGUAACACGUGAGUAACCUGCCCUUGACUUUGGGAUAACUUCAGGAAACUGGGGCUAAUACCGGAUAGGAGCUCCUGCUGCAUGGUGGGGGUUGGAAAGUUUCGGCGGUUGGGGAUGGACUCGCGGCUUAUCAGCUUGUUGGUGGGGUAGUGGCUUACCAAGGCUUUGACGGGUAGCCGGCCUGAGAGGGUGACCGGCCACCUUGGGACUGAGAUACGGCCCAGACGGCUACGGGAGGCAGCAGGGGGGAAUAUUGCACAAUGGGCGGACGCCUGAUGCAGCAACGCCGCGUGCGGGAUGCCGGCCUUCGGGUUGUAAACCGCUUUCGCCUGUGACGAAGAGUGAGUGACGGUAAUGGGUAAAGAAGCACCGGCUAACUACGUG
rnacentral:rRNA from 1 species